AGUGAACGCUGGCGGUAGGCCUAACACAUGCAAGUCGAACGGCAGCACAGUAAUAGCUUGCUCUUACGGGUGGCGAGUGGCGGACGGGUGAGGAAUACAUCGGAAUCUACUUUUUCGUGGGGGAGAACGUAGGGAAACUUACGCUAAUACCGCAUACGACCUACGGGUGAAAUCAGGGGAUCUUCUGACCUUGCGCGAGUGAAUGAGCCGAUGUCGGAUUAGCUAGUUGGCGGGGUAAAGGCCCACCAAGGCGACGAUCCGUAGCUGGUCUGAGAGGAUGAUCAGCCACAAUGGAACUGAGAGACGGUCCAGACUCCUACGGGAGGCAGCAGUGGGGAAUAUUGGACAAUGGGCGCAAGCCUGAUCCAGCCAUACCGCGUGGGUGAAGAAGGCCUUCGGGUUGUAAAGCGCUUUUGUUGGGAAAGAAAAGCAGCAGGUUAAUACCCCGCUGUUCUGACGGUACCCAAAGAAUAAGCACCGGCUAACUUCGUG
rnacentral:rRNA from 1 species